UGGGGAAUAUUGGACAAUGGGCGCAAGCCUGAUCCAGCCAUGCCGCGUGAGUGACGAAGGUCUUCGGAUUGUAAAGCUCUUUUGGCGGGGACGAUAAUGACGGUACCCGCAGAAUAAGCCCCGGCUAACUUCGUGCCAGCAGCCGCGGUAAUACGAAGGGGGCUAGCGUUGUUCGGAAUUACUGGGCGUAAAGCGCACGUAGGCGGACUGAUAAGUCAGGGGUGAAAUCCCGGGGCUCAACCUCGGAACUGCCUUUGAUACUGUUAGUCUCGAGUCCGGAAGAGGUGAGUGGAAUUCCUAGUGUAGAGGUGAAAUUCGUAGAUAUUAGGAAGAACACCGGUGGCGAAGGCGGCCCACUGGAUCGGUACUGACGCUGAGGUGCGAAAGCGUGGGGAGCAAACAGGAUUAGAUACCCGAGUAGUCCCUGAGCGGGCUGGCAAGGCGCAU
rnacentral:rRNA from 1 species